AGCAUUCUAGCCGGGGUGGCUUUCAUGGUGGCCCAAUGUCAUCUCCUAUGGCUACUCGUGCUUCCCCUGCAGCUACUCGUGCUUCUGCGAGCGUCCCAGUCACUGCCAGCUCCACACCGGAGGUCACCGUAGCUCGCAUCUCAGUCUCCAGUCCCACUUGGUUCAGCCACUGCGGCGUCACAGAAACUAGGCGCAGUCAGAUAGCAGAAGGGGCCCGGAGUCCUCACGAAGGCAAGUCUGCGGAGAAGGCUGAAGAGCCUAGAGAAGGUACUACUGUGGCUAAGCCCGAGGCCACAACCAUGGCUAUGACUGCUGUUCCCACACCCACCUCACCUUCGCUUAGCGCAGGCCACGUAGCUAAUCCGUAAAAGCGCCACCGGGAGAGCCACCAACACCACUCUGAACCCAGAGACAGCCCUCCAUGUUUGAGCAAACUGUUUCCAAGGGUCCAGCUAAUGGCCCAAGCUACAAUGAAAACCCACCCUGCUGAGUUGUUCAUGGUCUGUGUUCGCAGAGUACGGGUGGAUAAAAAGCCUACAAAUAAGA
ensembl:antisense 1700120K04Rik RIKEN cDNA 1700120K04 gene